GCCCUAAUUAUCCUUAAACUGAAUAUUGCAGAGGGCAGUUAAGAAUCAACCACAUUGCAGGAUGUCUGGAGUCACAUGUAAGCCAUAGCAGAAUUGAUGGUUCAUAACAGGAGGAAACAAGUCCAUAUAGUCAGAAAGAUGCCGGGUACAUAAAUCCUUAUUCCUUGUGAAGUGGAGACUGCAGUGAUGGCUUGGGACAGAGACUUCCCUACACUGAAUGGGGAAGAGAAGAAUUCCACAAGAAACCAGUGAGGAUGCUUGCAGAUCUCAGAGAUCUCUGUUGCUGGUGUGUGACUCAGGAAAAUUCACGACAGUGAUCUGUUAAAGAAACCUCAAGCUCUCCUGCGGAAAACAUCCAAGCCAUUAUCUAUUAACACUGUGUCAAAUUUGACUCUGACUAUGGUCUGAAUGAAAAAUGCAAUGAGAAAUACCUCCUCUUGCCUAGUCACACUAUGGGAGGAAUUUAGUGUAACCCAUCAAAGUGACUUUCUUGGCAGGGAGGGCCAUGCAAUCAAGCAAGAGGGAGUCAGUGGGAAUUCUGCGAUGUGUUGUCUCUCUAGCCCCAACAGUAUCUGCCAGUUCCUGCAUGAAAUUCAAGAUUAUCUUCGCCUUGACUCCGAUGUCGGAAGACUGGUUGGUGCCAGUAGGUAAAGGCAUAGCAAGAAUGGUGUCCAAGAUAUUUUGGCCUUUAGUCAACAGUAAAUUAUUGGCCACAGAACUGGAUGUGGAGUUCUUCCCUGGCCUUUGGAUUAGUCACAUAGAAGGCUGAAAUGACAGUCUUAGCAGUGUUUGGCCCACUUUUCAAAGUUAACUUCCAGCAAGCACAAGUCUUCAGGGAGAUUUUCCACAAUGUCUUGAAGUGCUCUAGUCCAGAAAUGCAUUUCCAAGUUAUCAGCAUGCGCAAAGAGCCGUGAAUUUGAAGGAGGCAGGUCACUAUAUGUAUAUAAUUAUUGAAUUCUGCUCUGGAUUUAAUUAUUUGUAAGAUUUUCAUAACUGGGCAACCACAGUGAAAAUAAAAAUAGCCAUUAGUAAUUGAGGCAUCAUACAGAGUCAACACUGCAGUCCUUGCCUGAGGAGGAUAGGAAGGACUUUAUUAAAUUGUGGACCAUGCUAUAAGAUCACCUUAGUGUAAAAGUGAAUUUCAGAACUUAUUGUUUGGAUCUGAUGCCUUACAGACAACAGCUACAAGAAUCAAUUGAUCAGUUCAUCAAAGAGGAUUUGAAAUGGGAAAUAACCACAAUUUCUUGGGAGCUGAGCUGUCUGAGUUGAUAAUAGAACUGGUUAUAGCUUCAUCGUUGAUUGAAAUUUUACAAAAAGUGACCUUGGUAAAAAAAGAAACGUCAUAAUGUUGAAACACUCCUAAUAAUUGAGAGAAAAUGUGAAGCCACUGUAGCUGGACAAGAAUGUCCCUACAAGAAUUACAUGCAGUUAUGAGUACUGGCACUGUAACAAGGACACAGAAAGCAGCAAACUGUGUGGGAAGAGCAAUCUGUUGUACUUACCGUGAAGUUGUUCUCAGAAUUUCAAAAUUUUUUGCAAGUCAUGUGGUAUAAAGGGGCAUUGAGUUUACCUAUAGAGGAAAUUUGGUUUCGAGCUUGUGGCUAGAAAUCACAACAAGUCACAACCAAACAGAAAGCACGUGCAGUAUUCUGACAUGGAGGAUGUAUGUGCUGGAUACCUGCAUGAAGCAAGAGGUGUCAGUUACAAUCAGAUUGUUUUCACAUACAGAGAUGAACUAGGUAUUUCAAGAGAUAUGAUUCGCAAAGGAAGCAGGAGCAUGUACAUGUAGCUCCUUGCCAAGAUACAUUGUCACAGUUACAUCAUGGGCAUAUGGCAUAGAACGAAGAAGGUACCUGGCAAGGGAAAUUGCAUUGGCCAUGGAUCAACAAUGAGAACAAGAAAGUAAUGAGAAUGUGCAAGGCAUGUGAGAGUCACCAAUAAUAUCAACAUAAGAAAUCUGUAAACCCUCAUGAGAUUCCAUCACAACCUCGGUCUAAAAUUCAUUUAAAAGAUUUAUUUUCUCCUCGUCACAGAUUACUUUUUCAUUGGUCGGACAAUUGAAGAUUGCCUCAAGUAUGUCCAUCCCAGGCAUAAUGGCCUAGGUUUGCACCAGAAAAAGUUGCCUCUGUAGCUGCAAGCAUGCUAGAAGAGAUUAGGAAACUUAAGUCCUUCAGAAAGAAAGUUGGAGAACACACUCCCAUCUGCAUCAAAGGAACUGAGGUUGAGAGGGCAGAAAACGUUAAGUUCCUCGGAGUGAUGAUAACCAACAACCUGUCCUGGGCUUCCAACAAAGGUGCAAAAGUCAAGAAGGCACAACGUCUCUUGUUUCUCAGGUGGCUGAGGAGUUUUGUUAUGUCCGUAAGGUCCCCCACUAACUUCUACAAAUAUACCAUUGAAAGCAUACUGUCCAGGUGCAUAACAGCCUGGUAUGGCAACUGCUCUGCCCAAGUCUGCCAGAAUCUACAGAGGGUGGUGUAUGCAUGGCCCAGACCAUUACAGAAGCCAACCUUCCAUCCAUGGACUCCAUUUACAUGGGCUUCCUGACAUGGACCAGCUACCAAAUCAUGAAAGACUCAUCGCAGCCCGGUAAUGACUUCCUACAGCUUCUUCCAUCAGGCAGAAGAUACAGAAGCCUGAACAGAUGUACCAGCAGGUUCAGGGACAUCUUCUUCUUGGCCAUAAUUAGACUGAUGAAUGGACUCUCUAGCCUCAAAUAAUGCUGAUCUUGCUAACGCUGAUCUUGCCUCGUGCACACCCUGUGCAAUGUAACCUGUAUGCCACUUUGUAAGUCGUUUUACAACCUCUGAUCUGUGCAUCCUUGAUUUCUAUAA